UGGGGUUUCUUGUUUGGGUAACGAUAAUGUUCUAAGACCAACAGUCGUGAUGAUCGCACAAAUUCUCAAAUUUACUAAAAACCAUUCAACGGUCUACUUUAAAAUACCAAACUUUGAUGCACACGAAUUCUCUCUCAGUUUUAACAAUAAGAAAAUUUCAGGGUCUUAGGGAACCUGAAGUGUGUGCAGAGAUCCCAUUCCUCGGACAGUUGGGAAGGAGCCUGAGGGUCCCCCAAAUGGCUGUGGGGAGAGCAGGUGGCCCGCAGUGUGGACGUGCAGCUGCCUGGCCAGGAAUCUUUAAAAAAAAAAAAAAAAAGACAAACAUUAACUUAGGCUGAGUUCAAGAAACGUGCCAUGGGAGACAGCGCAAAGCAAGUCCGUUAACGUGAAACUGCAGAAGAGGCAAAGAUGCUCCCAGGGGCCGGCGGCGUGGGGAGGCCCAACAGCAAGGGGCGGACACAGCUUUCCGGGGUGUCGACCUGGGCAAGCAGAGCUGAUCAGUCAGUCGGACAGUAAAAACAGCUGCCGGCCCCCACAAGCCCCCUUCCCGUCCGCGGAUGAGCCUGUUCUGGACGUGUCACCCACGUGGACUCACACCCCGUGUGGCCUUCUGUGUCUGGGUCCCUCCCUGAGCAUCGUGGGCUCGGAGUCUGUCCCCUCGCUCCUGCUUGCGGCCCAGUGAUGCUCUGGCGCGUGGGGGACCGUGUUCUGAAAUGCAGCAAACAGACAAGUGCAGCCCAGGUGCCGCCUCGGGAAGGCCGCUCAGGGCCCACACCACCUCCCAGCACGGUCCCCUGCCUCCACGUUAUCCCAGCACUCUACCAGAGGGAUCUCCGACGCAGAGCAGAGUCGGCCGGAUCAGACAAUGACCAUCGUCCGCGAACCACCUGCACCAGCCACACACGGGUUGGCAUGGAAGGACGCACAGGGAGAAGCUGCGUGAUCGCGGACGCACACCAGGGCGAUGUGCCCACAGCCAAGGGACGCCAAGGAUGGCCAGCCACGCAGGAGCUGGGAGAGGCAGGAAGGACCCUCCCUGGAGUCUUCAGAGAGCCAACGGUCCAGCCAUACCUUGACCUAGGACUUUUGGGCCCCAGGACUUGGAGAGAAUACAUUGGUGUUCAAAGCCACCCAGUUUGUGGUAAUUUGCUAAGACCACAGAAAAGUGCAGGAGUGGGGUGCUGGUGGCUCCGGGAAUCACAUAGUGGGGGCCAGGGAUGCAGCCAGACACACACAGUGCCCAGCACAGCCCCCACCAGGCUGGCCACCCACCUUUUACCUGCGGCAUCGUCCACCUCUGCCCAUCCCUCACUCCAUCCUGUUUCUGGUGUGCUUCAAACCACACCACGGACACCACCUUCUGCCUCCUAAAUACGUCAGUGUGCAAACUGCUCAUCGGUCACUGGUUUACAGAUCUUUUUAUUUUUUUCAAAAGAUUUUAUUUAUUUGG